rnacentral:tRNA from 1 species
GGAGAUGCUGUUCAUUUGGUAGAGUGGCUGCCUAGCGUGUAGGAAGCCCUGGGUUCCAGCCCCAGCAUCCCCU